rnacentral:tRNA from 1 species
GAAGAGAUAAGCUAAAGUUAAGCUAAUAGGUUCAUACCCUAUGUAUGGAGACUACUC